rnacentral:rRNA from 1 species
UUUGAUCCUGGCUCACGAUGAACGCUAGCUACAGGCUUAACACAUGCAAGUCGAGGGGAAACGACAUUGAAAGCUUGCUUUCGAUGGGCGUCGACCGGCGCACGGGUGAGUAACGCGUAUCCAACCUGCCCAUCACUUGGGGAUAACCUUGCGAAAGUAAGACUAAUACCCAAUGACGUCUCUAGAAGACAUCUGAAAGAGAUUAAAGAUUUAUCGGUGAUGGAUGGGGAUGCGUCUGAUUAGCUUGUUGGCGGGGUAACGGCCCACCAAGGCGACGAUCAGUAGGGGUUCUGAGAGGAAGGUCCCCCACAUUGGAACUGAGACACGGUCCAAACUCCUACGGGAGGCAGCAGUGAGGAAUAUUGGUCAAUGGACGAGAGUCUGAACCAGCCAAGUAGCGUGCAGGAUGACGGCCCUAUGGGUUGUAAACUGCUUUUAUAAGGGAAUAAAGUGAGUCUCGUGAGGCUUUUUGCAUGUACCUUGUGAAUAAGGACCGGCUAAUUCCGUGCCAGCAGCCGCGGUAAUACGGAAGGUCCGGGCGUUAUCCGGAUUUAUUGGGUUUAAAGGGAGCGUAGGCCGGAGAUUAAGCGUGUUGUGAAAUGUAGAUGCUCAACAUUUGCACUGCAGCGCGAACUGGUUUCCUUGAGUACGCACAAAGUGGGCGGAAUUCGUGGUGUAGCGGUGAAAUGCUUAGAUAUCAUGAAGAACUUCGAUUGCGAAGGCAGCUCACUGGAGCGCAUCUGACGGUGAAGCUCGAAAGUGCGGGUAUCGAACAGGUUUAGAUACCCUGGUAGUCCGCACGGUAAACGAUGGAUGCCCGCUGUUGGUCUGAAUAGGUCAGCGGCCAAGCGAAAGCAUUAAGCAUCCCACCUGGGGAGUACGCCGGCAACGGUGCAA